rnacentral:tRNA from 1 species
AAAUAAAAGUGUCCAGGGAUGGGAAUCGAACCCACAGUGUUCCGCUUACCUGGCAGAUGCCAUGUCCACUAGGCUAUUUCAUU